GGGAGCUAACGCGUUAAAGUAGACCGCCUGGGGGAAGUACGGUCGCAAGAUUAAAAACUCAAAAUGAAUUGACGGGGGCCCGCACAAGCGGUGGAGCAUGUGGUUUAAUUCGAUGCAACGCGAAGAACCUUACCUACUCUUGACAUCUACAGAAGCCAGCGGAGACGCAGGUGUGCCUUCGGGAACUGUAAGACAGGUGCUGCAUGGCUGUCGUCAGCUCGUGUUGUGAAAUGUUGGGUUAAGUCCCGCAACGAGCGCAACCCUUAUCCUUGUUUGCCAGCACUUCGGGUGGGAACUCCAGGGAGACUGCCGGUGAUAAACCGGAGGAAGGUGGGGACGACGUCAAGUCAUCAUGGCCCUUACGAGUAGGGCUACACACGUGCUACAAUGGCGCAUACAGAGGGCGGCCAACUUGCGAAAGUGAGCGAAUCCCAAAAAGUGCGUCGUAGUCCGGAUUGGAGUCUGCAACUCGACUCCAUGAAGUCGGAAUCGCUAGUAAUCGUGGAUCAGAAUGCCACGGUGAAUACGUUCCCGGGCCUUGUACACACCGCCCGUCACACCAUGGGAGUGGGCUGCAAAAGAAGUGGGUAGUUUAACCUUCGGGAGGACGCUCACCACUUUGUGGUUCAUGACUGGGGUGAAGUCGUAACAAGGUAACCG
rnacentral:rRNA from 1 species